AUAAAUAAAUAAAUAAAUAAAUUUAGAUGAUGCUUGAAUUUGAAUUAUAUUUAGUUUGGGGGAUGGUCGGGGGCUACGUAACACUGAAGCAUAGGAUACAAAUAGACUGAACCUCAACUUCAGUGAGAAAAUUUGUGUAAUAUAUGAUAAUGUAUGUGCAUAUGAUGGUAAAUGAAGCUAAUUUGCCUGCAUUAUGCUGCUGCA
rnacentral:misc_RNA from 1 species